rnacentral:tRNA from 1 species
GCCCCGGUAUCCCAACCGGCAGAGGAGGCGGUCUUAAAAACCGCUCAGUGUGGGUUCGAACCCCACCCGGGGCACCC